GGGGUUGUGGCUCAGUGGUAGAGCACUCACCUAGAACAUGUGAGGACCUGGGUUCGAUCCUCAGCACCACA
rnacentral:tRNA from 1 species